UACGGGGGGGGCAAGCGUUGUUCGGAAUUACUGGGCGUAAAGGGCUCGUAGGCGGCCAACUAAGUCGGAUGUGAAAUCCCCAGGCUUAACCUGGGAACUGCAUCCGAUACUGGAUGGCUUGAAUCCGGGAGAGGGAUGCAGAAUUCCAGGUGUAGCGGUGAAAUGCGUAGAUAUCUGGAGGAACACCAGUGGCGAAAGCGCCUUGCUGGGCCAGUACUGACACUGAGGAACGAAAGCCAGGGGAGCGAAAGGG
rnacentral:rRNA from 1 species